UGGGGAAUAUUGGACAAUGGGCGAAAGCCUGAUCCAGCCAUGCCGCGUGUGUGAAGAAGGUCUUCGGAUUGUAAAGCACUUUAAGUUGGGAGGAAGGGCAUUAACCUAAUACGUUAGUGUUUUGACGUUACCGACAGAAUAAGCACCGGCUAACUCUGUGCCAGCAGCCGCGGUAAUACAGAGGGUGCAAGCGUUAAUCGGAAUUACUGGGCGUAAAGCGCGCGUAGGUGGUUUGUUAAGUUGGAUGUGAAAUCCCCGGGCUCAACCUGGGAACUGCAUUCAAAACUGACUGACUAGAGUAUGGUAGAGGGUGGUGGAAUUUCCUGUGUAGCGGUGAAAUGCGUAGAUAUAGGAAGGAACACCAGUGGAGAAGGCG
rnacentral:rRNA from 1 species